UAUAAUUUGACGAAUUCAUCAGCGCUUUUUGUCUAGAAUAUUCUUUGGUCACGGUUUAAACCCUAUAUAAAUGUGCAUUGAAAUUCUCUAUAUAUAAGUUAAAAAACUAAGUUUCCUAUUGAGUGAGUUUGAACUUUUCAGUUGGACUUAUAAAAUCAACUGAUAUUUUAACAGGAAUCAGGAAAUCCUCUAAGAUCGACAUAACCAAUAUCCGUGACAACGCACUUCGCCGGCUGAAAGUGAAACAAGAAACAUGGCAGAUCAAAUCAGUUGGAUACCGCUGGAAUCAAACCCCGACGUUCUGAACAAGGUAAGUGAAUUAUUUAUCGUAUUCUGUUCAAAGGGAAGUCACUCUCAAAAUUUUCUUCUGCAACCCCGGCUGCAUUGCAGCAAAUUAAUGUCAUUAGCAUAAUUUUCUAAAAAGAAUUGUACUGGAAAUAUGUAUCUAUGUAUAAAAUAAUUAAAAUAUGAUUAAUUUUAAUUAAAC